GGAUUGUAGCUCAACGGUAGAGGGCUUGCCUAGAACGUGCAAGGCGCUGGGUUCGAUCCUCAGCACCA
rnacentral:tRNA from 1 species